CGGGCGGGUGUGUUUACCAGAGGGAACGAAGAAACCGGAGCUCGCCCGGGCCGCGGUCGCCACCGCCGACAAGGGAGGCGAGACCCGGGUGGCCUGAGCAGUUGUCAGAAAUGGGAAGUCUCCGUCUAAGAGACAAGGUCCUCCUCUGGCUGGCACCCAGCUUCAGCAUCUCUCUCCUCCAGCGCAAGAGACCUGAAGAAAUUCCAGUUCGUUGUUGGCCAUUAUUUUAGUAAUGACCAAAGGAGGAGCUUUAGGGGUGUGACCGCUUCCCUGGUGGACUAUGUGCCUCUCAGGACAGGCGCCUGCAUGCACCGCCCCUCUAGACACCCACCCUCCGGACCCUGCCUGGCAAAUCCUGCUCGUCUUUGACUCUCGAUAGACUAUCACUCUGCGGGAGGCAGCCUUCACUGGACACCCAGACUAUGAGCACAUUCCUUCUCAUAGCCACACAGCUUCUGGAACACCUCUCGUCGCAUUUCACUUAGUGAAGGGUCUCUGGAUUACAGUUCAAGGAGACACCGGGGACAACCUAAGAAAUUUAUUAGAAAUACUAGUGCCAUGGGAAGUGGCAAGUGGAGGUUCUGGGAGGACCCCAAUACUAUAGACAGAGGUUCUGGGAGGACCCCAAUACUAUAGACAGACAGCAUGGAAGAGGCCAAGUGAGGGGCCCUUCUUACGGGUCUCAGAGGAAGAGGAAAAUUCCAUGUACCAGUAAUUGAUGAGUAUCCACAGCACAGGCCUGCCUCUGUUUCCCAGGGAUUGUGGAUAGGGGGUCUUGCAUAAAGCAAGCAAGAAAGGAAUCUUGUCACUGUGUGACUUAGAGGA